rnacentral:snRNA from 1 species
GUGCUCGCUUUUGGCAGCACGUAUACUAAAAUUGGAACGAUACAGAGAAGAUUGGGCCCCUGCGCAAGGAUGACACGCAAAUUCGUGAAGCGUUCCCUAUUUUU